GUAGAAUGUUGGUGUAUUUUAGUGUCUCUCUAUUGUUCACAUUUCUAGUCUAGGAACAGGCCAGGGCCUCUCAUACUGAUACAAGGUGUUAUCCUUAACAUUCUGCCAUUGUUAUGUCUCAACAAGUCAUCGACCACCGGGUCCACUAUAGAUUAUUCAACCUAAGUCUGUAUCUCGCUGUACAUCCUGGAAUAAACCAUCUAUUCAACCCUCUAAUCCAACCUGUCAAGCUGCUUUGAUUUCGACUUCAAGAAUUACUACUACGACUGAAAAUACACAACGCAGAGUCUGUCCGAACAGUUUAGAAAUAAGCUGAAAUCUAACAGAGCAGAUCGGACAAGCGCUGUUUCAACCCUCUG
ensembl:lncRNA